rnacentral:misc_RNA from 1 species
GAUGCUAGAAUCAAGGGUAAGAGCACAUCUCUAGGAGUUGGCAGGGGUAGAUCUGUUGCAAUGCGAGCUAAAGCGCAAGCUGCUGGGCGUGCAGCACCUGGGAGAGGUGCUGUGCCUGCUGUUAGGAGGUGAUGCCUUACCAUGAUUUGAUCUAGAGCUUCUUUCUCUCAUUUCGCCUGCCUGCUUAAAUUAGGGUCCCUGCUCUUAAUAUCCCUCGAAUUUGGUGUAAUUUUUGUAAUGGGGAGAGAUGGAAUCGUAAUGCCUGGUCUGUAGAUGACUGCUCUAUGCUUGUACGCAUGUAUUUCAAUUUGAAUAUCAUAUAGUUUCUACUCCUGUGCCAAAAAUUUGUGUGGCAAUAAGCAUUCUUUUCGUUGACACCCU